rnacentral:rRNA from 1 species
AUUGGGCAUGGGCGAANGCCUGNCCAGCGACACCGCGUGGGGGAAGAAGGCCUUCGGGUUGUAAACCCCUUUUAUCGGGGACGAAUAAUGACGGUACCCGAUGAAUAAGCCUCGGCUAACUACGUGCCAGCAGCCGCGGUAAUACGUAGGAGGCAAGCGUUAUCCGGAUUUACNUGGGCGUAAAGCGGGCNGUAGGCGGUCUGUCAAGUCGGAUGUGAAAUCUCCCGGCUCAACUGGGAGGGUGCAUCGGAAACUGAUGGACUGGAGUGCAGCAGAGGAAAGCGGAAUUCCCGGUGUAGUGGUGAAAUGCGUAGAUAUCGGGAAGAACACUAGUGGCGAAGGCGGCUUUCUGGGCUGUAACUGACGCUGAGGUCCGAAGGCGUGGGGAGCAAACAGGAUUAGAUACCCUGGUAGUCCACGCAGUAAACGAUGGAUACUAGGUAUAGGGAGUAUCGACCCUCUCUGUGCCGAAGCUAACGCUUUAAGUAUCCCGCCUGGGGACUACGGUCGCAAGACUAAAACUCAAAGGAAUUGACGGA